rnacentral:lncRNA from 1 species
GAGAAAUUAAAUGUCUUGAUGUGUUGAAAGCAGAAAGUUUGCACAAUUUGCUUUGCCUGUGCCACUAUGGUUCAAGGGCUUGGAUCAAUUGAAAAUCAUUCACUGGCUCCAGUAUGCUUUUGGUUGGGUCCUAUGUGAAAUUCAAUUGCCUAAUGAGCUCUCAGGAAGGGCUAUGAGCUGUGCAGUCAGGAUACAGGGACAGGCUCUCGUAGCUCUCAGAUUAAUACAAUGAACAAAACCUUUGCAGGCUUGAAUAGCCUCAGAGUUCAAACAAGGACACAUUUCACCAUCAACAACAUGAGAACCAUAUAGUCUUACAGGACUACCUUCAAUUUGGGCCUAAAUUUCUGAGGAAAACAAAUCUCACAGUUGCACAUCUUACAGAUCUUGAGACAAAGAAGGCUCAAAUCUUGGGUGUCCUGUCUAAGUGCUUGCAACAUCUGUGCUGUGAGACAUGGAGCAAGCUGGAGACCUACGUAUGUCCCUGUAUUCAGGUGUCAAAUAACUUUAGAGGAACAUCUACCUGAAAGUAUGACUGUGGGGUAAACAAAUUAGUGGAUCUAUUUUAUCUAUGACUCAGUAAAAAAAAAGUCUUUAAGCCUGCACAGCUAUGACUUAGUAAAGCCUAUAAGCCUGCACAUGCUCUAAUGCACGAACGGUGAUCACCUGCAAAGAGAUUGCGGGGUAGCCAAAAUGGGAGAGCUGCUCAUUAAGGAAUAGUUUUGGUGCUUUUCCUACUCCUCACCCUUACCUACAGUUCGUGACCAAGACAAAACCUGCUCCCAGGUCCUUUUGCUGCUCUGUGCCCCUGUGGUGACAGAUGAUGUAUUUUCCUUUCUGAGUGUUUACAGCUCCGCUGUUUCUUGUCUGGCCAAAGCAACUGGAAGCAGUGAGGAGCGCAGUUCAGCGGUCGGACAGAGGGGCCCUGUCUGGGCUGGGCUUGCUGUUCAUCCCAAGAGCAGACACAAAGCAGCAGGCUGUCACAAGGAGAGGUCCCUCACCAAGGCGUUUCCUGUCAUAUAACCCCUGGCCCCCACGCUGCUGGCAGACGCUGUAGCUCUCCCAACGCCAGUGUU